AGCGAACGCUGGCGGCAGGCCUAAUACAUGCAAGUCGAGCGCCCUUUCGGGGGAGCGGCGGACGGGUGAGUAACGCGUGGGAAUGUGCCCUUUGGUACGGAACAACACAGGGAAACUUGUGCUAAUACCGUAUGUGCCCUUCGGGGGAAAGAUUUAUCGCCAUUGGAGCAGCCCGCGUUGGAUUAGGUAGUUGGUGGGGUAAAGGCCCACCAAGCCUACGAUCCAUAGCUGGUCUGAGAGGAUGAUCAGCCACACUGGGACUGAGACACGGCCCAGACUCCUACGGGAGGCAGCAGUAGGGAAUCUUGCGCAAUGGGCGAAAGCCUGACGCAGCCAUGCCGCGUGUAUGAUGAAGGCCUUAGGAUUGUAAAAUACUUUCGCCGGGGAAGAUAAUGACGGUACCCGGAGAAGAAGCUCCGGCUAACUUCGUGCCAGCAGCCGCCGUAACAC
rnacentral:rRNA from 1 species